rnacentral:lncRNA from 1 species
GAGUUUAUCACCACAAAGACCAGCAUCUUCAAGAGCCAUUUCAUGAGCAACAAUGCCAUACCCAAACAAUCAUUAGACACCCGAACCUGUAACGAAGCUACUUGACCCGAAACGAGACCUGAACAACCCGCUGAAACGACACCCGAAAUUGCUAAUUUUGACCGGGUUAACUGUUGACCGUUCCUGAAUCUGAUCCGUAACACUCGAAGCCGUACCGAAUAAAAUCUGAAAUCUGAAUCUAAGCACUAGAACCAAAUUUGAACUUUAACGAAGCUCUGGCGGCAGCCACCACCGCCGUCGGCCAUGUCUGACGACCACCACCAUCAUCACCGCCGGUAAGUCGGUCGCCGGCUCCUCCGAUACGUUUUACCUGAAAAACAGUUGUCGGAAUCAUGCCGCCGCCCUUGCUGCUUCUGUUGCCGUGACAUAGGUUAUCGGUCCCUCUCCUGUUCUCCGAUCUCUCUCUCUCUCUCUCUCUUUGGACAGGGUAGCGGUGUGUGCGACGGGUUAAGAUGAAGAUGGAGCUUGGGGUUGUGUGGGUUGACAUGCCAGCAAGCACGGGACCCCGGUAGCCGGCCGGUAACCGGCACCGGUCGCAAUCAUCGGACAGAGAAAGCAGAGGGGUGAAAGGGGAUGUCGGCUGCUGAUCGUGUUGGAUGUUUUAGGGUAAAUGAUAGCAUGUUACGUUUCAUUCUCAAACUUAAGUGUUGGAAUUAA